CGAAUGUAAUGUUAGGACUGUGUAAAUGUAACUGCUCCUUAACUAGGGGCAAGAGGUCAGUGCUGCCACCAGGUAGAAACAAGGUGCCGGGCCGGAUAAAACAAGGUGGAGGGCCGGAUUCGGCCCCCGGGCCUGUGUUUGCCGCCUGUGUGUUGAGAAUAACAUUUCA